UGAUCCUGGCUCAGAUUGAACGCUGGCGGCAGGCCUAACACAUGCAAGUCGAACGGUAACAUUUAUAGCUUGCUAUAAGAUGACGAGUGGCGGACGGGUGAGUAAUGCUUAGGAACUUGCCUUUUGGUGGGGGAUAACAGUUGGAAACGACUGCUAAUACCGCAUAAUGUCUUUGGACCAAAGGGGGCUUCGGCUCUCACCAAGAGAGAGGCCUAAGUGAGAUUAGUUAGUUGGUGGGGUAAAGGCUUACCAAGACGACGAUCUCUAGCUGUUCUGAGAGGAAGAUCAGCCACACUGGGACUGAGACACGGCCCAGACUCCUACGGGAGGCAGCAGUGGGGAAUAUUGCACAAUGGGGGGAACCCUGAUGCAGCCAUGCCGCGUGUGUGAAGAAGGCCUUCGGGUUGUAAAGCACUUUCAGUUGUGAGGAAAGGUUGGUAGUUAAUACCUGCCAGCUGUGACGUUAACAACAGAAGAAGCACCGGCUAACUCCGUGCCAGCAGCCGCGGUAAUACGGAGGGUGCGAGCGUUAAUCGGAAUUACUGGGCGUAAAGCGCACGCAGGCGGUUUGUUAAGCGAGAUGUGAAAGCCCCGGGCUCAACCUGGGAGGGUCAUUUCGAACUGGCAGACUAGAGUUUUGGAGAGGGGAGUGGGAUUCCAGGUGUAGCGGUGAAAUGCGUAGAUAUCUGGAGGAACAUCAGUGGCGAAGGCGACUCCCUGGUCAAAGACUGACGCUCAUGUGCGAAAGUGUGGGUAGCGAACAGGAUUAGAUACCCUGGUAGU
rnacentral:rRNA from 1 species